AAACUUAAAGGAAUUGACGGGGCCCGCACAAGCAGCGGAGCGUGUGGUUUAAUUCGAUGAUACACGAAGAACCUUACCCAGGCUUGACAUGCAGGUAUCGGGGUUUACGAAAGUAGGCCCACCUCGGGAGGCCUGCACAGGUGCUGCAUGGCUGUCGUCAGCUCGUGUCGUGAGAUGUCCGGUUAAGUCCGGUAACGAGCGCAACCCUCGCUGUAUGUUAUACGUGUCAUACGGGACUGCCGGUAUCAAGCCGGAGGAAGGUGGGGAUGACGUCAAGUCAGCAUGGCCUUUAUGUCUGGGGCUACACACACGCUACAAUGGCCAGUACAAUAGGUUGCAAGACCGCGAGGUGGAGCCAAUCCUAAAAGCUGGUCUCAGUUCGGAUUGCAGGCUGCAACUCGCCUGCAUGAAGUCGGAGUUGCUAGUAACCGCGCGUCAGCUAUAGUGCGGUGAAUACGUUCCCGGGCCUU
rnacentral:rRNA from 1 species